rnacentral:rRNA from 1 species
GAAUUCCGUAGGUGAACCUGCGGAGGGAUCAUUACCGAGUUUACAACUCCCAAACCCCUGUGAACAUACCUUAUGUUGCCUCGGCGGAUCAGCCCGCGCCCCGUAAAAAGGGACGGCCCGCCGCAGGAACCCUAAACUCUGUUUUUAGUGGAACUUCUGAGUAUAAAAAACAAAUAAAUCAAAACUUUCAACAACGGAUCUCUUGGUUCUGGCAUCGAUGAAGAACGCAGCAAAAUGCGAUAAGUAAUGUGAAUUGCAGAAUUCAGUGAAUCAUCGAAUCUUUGAACGCACAUUGCGCCCGCCAGUAUUCUGGCGGGCAUGCCUGUUCGAGCGUCAUUUCAACCCUCAAGCCCAGCUUGGUGUUGGGAGCUGCAGCCCUGCUGCACUCCCCAAAUACAUUGGCGGUCACGUCGAGCUUCCAUAGCGUAGUAAUUUACACAUCGUUACUGGUAAUCGUCGCGGCCACGCCGUUAAACCCCAACUUCUGAAUGUUGACCUCGGAUCAGGAG